UCAACUAAGUGGUCGAACUCUUCGUAAACUGCCAUUCCUUGCACAUGCGCUGUAUUCGAAAGCACAAACGAUAACCUCAGAAGAGUUUUUGAAUAAUCUUUCAAUGAUUGUUGACAAGCAGUUCAAAGAAAAAGAGAAUCUUUGCUCAGUUGGUGAAGAAAAAAGCGUGCAAGCGUGAUCUUUUUAACGAUUAUUUGAAGCUUUGCUGCGAUAAUACAGGUUUGUACUGCUAUCUCAUCUUUGUUUGUUGCCUAUCUGAUAGCAUGUCAACUCCGGGGACCAGAUUUUUU